rnacentral:misc_RNA from 1 species
GUUAUUUUCUUUCUUUACUCCUUUUCUGCAUUGUGUUGGUUGCCAAGUAAAACUCUCCUUGGAAUUAUAAGUUCUUGGGUUUUGUUUAUUUUAGUUGAAUGAUCGUGGGAAAAGUGUAAGAUUAGCUACGAGUUGCUCUGCUUCAUGAGACUGAUAAUGAAUGGAGCCUAAUUUUGACUUUUAAAAACCCCAAAAAGAGUACUAAUUU